rnacentral:tRNA from 1 species
GGGUCGUUAGCUCAGAUGGUAGAGCAGUUGACUCUUAAUCAAUUUGUCGUAGGUUCGAGUCCUACACGACCCACCA